UCCCCGCAAAGUUAACCACAAAGAUGAUCCGGAAUAGAGAAGGAAAGCAGGAAUGGUAAGAAAAGCUUCAGAAGGCUCAUUUGGGGCACGGCAGAGAACUAUGGAUGCUAUCACAGUGCUUUCCCCUGGACCUUCUAGCUUUAGGACACCUCUCAUUGAACCUCACGUUCCUCUCCGUCCUGCUAACACCAUUACCAAGGUCCCUUCAGAGAAGAUCCUCAGAGCUGGAAAAAUUUUACGAAUUGCCAUUCUCUCUCGAGCACCCCACAUGAUAAGAGACAGAAAAUACCACCUAAAGACAUACAGACAAUGCUGUGUUGGGACUGAGCUGGUAGACUGGAUGAUACAGCAAACGUCCUGUGUUCACUCCCGGACUCAAGCUGUUGGCAUGUGGCAAGUCUUGCUAGAAGACGGUGUCCUCAACCAUGUGGACCAGGAACGCCACUUCCAAGACAAAUAUUUAUUUUAUCGAUUUCUGGAUGACGAGCAUGAGGAUGCCCCUUUGCCUACUGAGGAAGAGAAGAAGGAGUGUGAUGAGGAACUCCAGGACACCAUGCUGCUGCUGUCACAGAUGGGCCCUGAUGCCCACAUGAGGAUGAUCCUGCGCAAACCACCUGGCCAGAGGACUGUGGAUGACCUAGAGAUUAUCUAUGAUGAGCUCCUUCAUAUCAAAGCCUUAUCCCAUCUUUCUACUACAGUGAAAAGGGAAUUAGCCGGUGUUCUCAUUUUUGAGUCUCAUGCCAAAGGAGGAACUGUGUUGUUUAACCAGGGGGAAGAAGGUACCUCCUGGUACAUUAUUCUAAAAGGAUCAGUGAAUGUAGUCAUUUAUGGCAAGGGUGUGGUCUGCACCCUGCACGAGGGCGAUGACUUUGGCAAGUUAGCUCUCGUGAAUGAUGCCCCACGAGCCGCCUCCAUUGUUCUUCGAGAAGAUAAUUGUCACUUCUUAAGAGUUGACAAGGAAGAUUUCAACCGGAUUUUGAGGGACGUUGAGGCGAAUACAGUCAGACUUAAAGAACAUGACCAAGAUGUCUUGGUGCUGGAGAAGGUCCCAGCAGGGAGCAGAGCUUCUAAUCAAGGAAACUCACAGCCUCAGCAAAAGUAUACUGUGAUGUCAGGAACACCUGAAAAAAUUUUAGAGCACUUUUUAGAAACAAUACGCCUUGAACCAUCUUUGAAUGAAGCAACAGAUGCGGUUUUAAAUGACUUUGUUAUGAUGCACUGUGUUUUUAUGCCAAAUACCCAGCUUUGUCCUGCCCUGGUGGCCCAUUACCAUGCACAGCCUUCUCAAGGUACGGAACAGGAAAGAAUGGACUAUGCCCUCAACAACAAGAGGCGUGUCAUCCGCUUGGUUCUGCAGUGGGCUGCCAUGUAUGGGGACCUCCUCCAAGAAGAUGAUGUGGCCAUGGCUUUCCUGGAGGAGUUCUAUGUGUCUGUGUCAGAUGAUGCCCGGAUGAUGGUUGCCUUCAAGGAACAACUGCCAGAGCUGGAGAAGAUCGUCAAACAAAUCUCAGAAGACGUGAAAGCCCCACAGAAGAAGCACAAGGUGCUUUUGCAACAGUUCAACACAGGCGAUGAGAGGGCCCAGAAGCGCCAGCCGAUCCGUGGCUCUGAUGAGGUUUUGUUUAAGGUCUACUGCAUGGACCACACCUAUACCACCAUCCGGGUACCUGUAGCUGCCUCGGUGAAGGAAGUCAUCAGUGCAGUGGCUGACAAACUCGGCUCAGGGGAAGGCCUGAUCAUAGUCAAGAUGAACUCUGGAGGAGAAAAGGUGGUGCUCAAACCUAAUGAUGUUUCAGUAUUUACGACGCUCACCAUUAAUGGACGCCUGUUUGCCUGCCCGCGAGAGCAAUUCGACUCACUGACUCCCUUGCCAGAACAAGAAGGCCCAACCACUGGGACAGUAGGAACUUUUGAACUGAUGAGCUCGAAAGACUUGGCAUACCAGAUGACAACAUAUGACUGGGAACUCUUCAACUGUGUGCAUGAGCUGGAGCUAAUCUACCACACAUUUGGAAGGCAUAAUUUUAAAAAGACCACAGCAAACUUGGAUUUGUUCCUGAGGAGAUUUAAUGAAAUUCAGUUUUGGGUUGUCACUGAGAUCUGCCUUUGUUCCCAGCUCAGCAAGCGUGUUCAGCUUUUGAAAAAGUUUAUCAAGAUAGCGGCUCACUGCAAGGAGUACAAAAAUCUAAAUUCCUUUUUCGCCAUCAUCAUGGGACUCAGUAAUGUCGCCGUGAGCCGAUUGGCACUAACCUGGGAGAAACUGCCAAGCAAGUUUAAGAAGUUCUAUGCAGAGUUUGAAAGCUUAAUGGAUCCUUCCAGAAACCACAGGGCCUACAGGCUGACAGCAGCUAAACUGGAUCCCCCCCUCAUCCCUUUCAUGCCCUUGCUUAUUAAAGAUAUGACAUUUACUCAUGAGGGGAACAAGACGUUCAUUGACAAUCUAGUAAACUUUGAAAAAAUGUCUCAUAAAGUUCACUCAAGUUCAGAGAGGGGACUUGGAGACUCAGAGAUCUCCAUAACGACGACGACGACGACGACGACGACGACAACAACAACAAUGAAUUGUCAGUAACAAACGUGAAACUGGCACUUUGCUGUUCACUGCUUUCCAGCCCCUUCUCCUCCACCCCACCCCCAUCCAGAGAAGAGUCUGGCAAAGGUACUUUGCAGUUUGUGUUCUUAUCGUCUGUGAAGCAACAAGGCAGGCCCCGCCAGAGCCUUUCUUUAGCACACAGUCCACGUCAAUGGAAUGCCACUCUGUCUCCGGAUCCCCAGGGCUGCAUGUAGCCUGGGGAAACAGAGUAGCAGAGCUUCAUUUCCCCAAGGGGUAAGCAUUUGCCCAAGAUUGUUUUGCAGUGUGAAUGUGGCCCUGGAUUUGGAACUCGGGAGACACUGGGUCAAUACUCAAUUCCAUCCUUUUGUUCCUCAUCUUCAUCUUCUGUGUGAGUCUCUUUCCCCAGCAGAAAAUGGGGCUCAUGACUGUUUAGCCACCUCUAGGCUGAUGGAUGGUCCAUGGUGCAUGAGUCUUCUAUGCCGCAGAAAGUACUGCAGAGUUAUUAUCAGAAACCCGUAAUUCUAAUUGUUUCUUGAAAUCAAGAUAGUGUGUAUGUCUGCAGAAGAAUUUGAAAAACCUCACUGUCUAUGGGUUAGGGCUCAGCCCUGUUCAUAUGAGUUUAUGAUUAGGAAGUACAGUUUAAGUCCACUGUCUUAAACUUCUGAAGAAACAGACUGUAAGCACACACCCCUCAAAGACACGCACCCAUGGGCAAACAGUGAUUCUUUGCUUACUUGUUAGCGUAAAGAGCUAAACAUUCCCCAGUGUUUUCGAGGAGAAAGACAAAUGCUUGUUUUUCCAAAGUGGAUGAUUGAGCAAAUAGGAAAAGUGCUUUCCGAAUCACUUAUGCAGAACAUUCUAAGACCAAGAAGUAGCUAAGCCAACCACUGGGAUAUAAAAUAUAGGGGGGCAGAGAUGUGAAACCCAGCAUUCCCUGAAGAGUCCUAGAACUUUUGACUGCUGACGUGACCUACGUGGUCCAGAGUAAGCAAGAACAGCAUUGUGCUCUGAGCCAGUCAUCUACUGGGGAGGCUGAGAGUUGGCUCUGAGUUUCUAGUGUCCUGUAGCCUGCAGAGGGAAGUCAAGAUGACCCAAGAUGUCUGUACCUCAGGUGCACAGCAUUGAACUCUCCCGCACCCCCCAGGCAGUAAGCAAGAGGUCCUGACUGUUCUGCUCUCUGGGCAGACAUGUAUGUUUAACAGCCACUGAUUAGUUAAACUAGCACUGCAGCUACAAUAAACAAGCCUAAACUCAUAAUGGUUUGAAAGCCAUUAUGAUAAUUUAGAAGCACAGUUAAGUUUAUUCCUUUUCGCUUCUAAGUCUUGAGUGAGCAUGGCAGCUCCACUCUGAGGAGUAGUCGAGGUUCCUGGCUUCAGCUCUCAUCGCAUUUCACAUGGUCCAUGACGACAUGCCAUCACAUCCAUGUCCCAGCCAUGAAGAAGGAGAAGGUGUGCUUCUUCCCCUUAAGCGCAUGAUUGCAAAUACUGCCAGAACAGUGCGGUACUGCAGGAGCCAGCCCUUCAAUCCCGAUGCCGCUCAAGCUAAUAAGAACCAUCAGGAUGUCCGGAGUUAUGUACGGCAAUUAAAUGUGAUUGACAACCAGAGAAC